rfam:Oryza sativa Japonica Group DNA, chromosome 4, cultivar: Nipponbare, complete sequence.
AACAAGGCAAACCCUGAGUUUCUGUGUCCAACUUUAACUGUCCGUCUUAUAUGAAAUUUUUUUAUAAUUCGUAUUUUCAUUGUUGUUAGAUGAUAAAACAUGAUUAAUAUUUUAUGUGUGACUUGUCUUUUUAAUUUUUUUAUAAUUUUUUCAAAUAAGACGGACGAUCAAACGUUGGGCACGGAAACCAGGGUUUGUCUUUUU